AUUGAACGCUGGCGGCAGGCCUAACACAUGCAAGUCGAGCGAGCGGCGGACGGGUGAGUAUUGUAUGGGGACUGCCCGAUAGAGGGGGAUAACAACUGGAAACGGUAGCUAUAACCGCAUACUAUCGGAUAACCCAUAUGGGAUUAGCUAUUAGGUGAGGUAAUGGCUCACAUCUGCGACGAUCCCUAGCUGGUCUGAGAGGAUGAUCAGCCACACUGGGACUGGGACACGGCCCAGACUCCUACGGAGGCAGCAGUGGGGAAUAUUGCACAAUGGGCGCAAGCCUGAUGCAGCCAUGCCGCGUGUAUGAAGAAGGCCCUAGGGUUGUAAAGUACUUUCAGUCGGGAGGCGUUACCGACAGAAGAAGCACCGGCUAACUCCGUGCCAGCAGCCGCGGUAAUAC
rnacentral:rRNA from 1 species